AGGUAAUGGGGUUGAAUGCCAAGUCUCCCUAAGUGCUGUGACUGUCUAGGCUUCAUAGUGGAACAAGCCUGUGAUCUCAGCACUUGAGAGACUAGGACAGGAGAAUGAGGAGUUUGAGUCCAAUCCAGAGUAAGUCUGAGCCGAUUAGGACAGCAACCUGCACCUAACCAUGGGAUCCAGACUCUGCUUUGCAUAAGUGAACUGACGUGGCAGGUAACAGGAAGACAUGGGCAUCCCACAAUGCCUCCUUUGGACGGAUGUGGACACAAUGAAGGGCUGAAGAGGGAACAGGGCAGAUGCAGAGAAGACAGAGGGGCC